rnacentral:rRNA from 1 species
AUGUUCCAAAUGAGAGGCCUCAUUUGGAACUAUCGAGGGGUAGGCAAGAAAGGGAUGGCCACCUGCCUCUCAGACAUGAUCAGUGACCAUUCCCUUGACUUCCUGGGUCUGCAAGAAACUAUAAAGAAGGAUUUCACACCUAAGUGUUUGAGAAGAAUUGACCCUUUUGACAUUUUCCAGUGGAACUGGGUGCCCUCUAUGGGCAAGUUUGGGGGCAUAUUAUGUGGU